rnacentral:rRNA from 1 species
UACGGGGGGGGCAAGCGUUGUUCGGAAUUACUGGGCGUAAAGGGCUCGUAGGUGGCCAACUAAGUCAGACGUGAAAUCCCUCGGCUUAACCGGGGAACUGCGUCUGAUACUGGAUGGCUGGAGAUUGGGAGAGGGAUGCGGAAUUCCAGGUGUAGCGGUGAAAUGCGUAGAUAUCUGGAGGAACACCGGUGGCGAAGGCGGCAUCCUGGACCGGUAUUGACGCUGAUGCGCGAAAGCCAGGGGAGCAAACGG